CGUCUCAUACCGUGUUUUUUUCCACUUCGUUCCUAUAGUAGAACAACCUAAAUACCCAAUGAUGGAACUGAGCUAUAAAACAUGUUGGGAUUGUAAAUAAACUGUCUAUAGCUGACUUGUUCUUAGUUUUCUUAUGUGAUUAUAGUAUAAAAAGAAGCACUUCAGGUUGCAGUGUGCUUUAGGCAUGUCGCUUCUACUGCAUAUGCACAUACACAUAUGUCAGUUUUGCUUCUCAAUCACGUGAUAUUAACAGAAACUAUAUUUUAGUCUGGUUCCUUUUACUAACAAUGUUUUUUCCCCAAAAGGCACAGACAAUUAAUUUGUUCUUUGUUAGUGCUUUUUUUUUUGAAUGCUUCGGAUGUGUUACUUCCACCUGCGUAUAUAUAAAUUUCAGUAUGCUCAUAAAUCAUUUGUUUUAGAGAAACCAAAUUUUAGCAUAGGCAUCAUUCAGGUUAGCCAGUGUAUUUUUCUUAAGUUAACCUUAUUUGAAUUACGUAACUAAGUAGCUUUCGGUCUGUAUUGGUUAGACCCAUACAGUACAUGCAAAGGAUUUCGUCUAUGUGUUCCAUUUCAUAGCUUAUGGCUUGACAUCCACUAAACUGCACAUUCCACGUUUGAUCCUAAAUUUGACCACCCUAUCCCUUUCUUUGUAACAAGAACAAAGUAGUACAUAUACAGUUGAUUAACAUUUAGGGGUAUAAUCUGGACAUGCCAUAUUUGAUGAGACAAACGGAUGGUUAUGCUUAUUUUCUGUUGCAUAUGAAAAAUACUUUAAUGUUUGUAUUCACUUCGAGAGAUUUGGCAUACCUUCUUGUGAUAUUCAGUUGAUCUCUAUAUAUAUUUGUACCCGCUAAAUGUUUCCUAUGCAUUCCAAAUUUGUUGAUCACAUGAAACUGCAAUUAACAGUAGCUUUUAGAUAAAUAAGAGCAAUCCACUAGACCGAAAAACAUACAAACCAAAGAGCCUUAACUAAUGGUUGAUGAUAGCUUAGUCUUGCUUCAUAGUCAUCUAUUAGUAUAGUCUUCAGCCACACUUACUGCCGACAGGUCUAUGUUCCGGUGCAUAAAUUUCUAAUUAUUCUGCUUCUGAAGAUUAUAAUUUCUCUAGAAUCAGUAACCAAAUGUGUACAAGAUGUUUUAUUAACUUGAGAGUCUGUUUACAAACAGCAAAGCUACAUCGUUUGCACAGUUGUCGUGUUAAAUAGCCGAGACAAAUCAAUGCUGAAUUAUUUUGUGGACACAAUCUCAACUGAUACAGAUCAUUGUUCUAUCACGCUUCAUUUCUUAUGUUUUUCUUUGUUUUCAUUUUAGCUCAUGGUAAUGUUUAAAAUGUAUCGAAGGUUUUUUGUCCAGUCAAGGUAGAAAUUUGAUGUCUCCUAGAGGGUGUUAUUUUUAUAUUACCAUAUGAAACCUACAUUUGUAAUAUAAUUAUUUAGUGAUUAUUUGACAAUAUAAGCUCAGAUAGCAUCCAUUAUGGAGGCAAUAAGAAAUGAAAAGCUGGAGAAAAUAUCAAGUGAUAUCCUUCGUUCAUGUAGUCGCGUAUGAUACCAUUUUUGGUCUCAUUGGCUAGCAGUAUUGCUUGAAUUGAUACCAUUUCUGAUAAGAACACUAUAUUUUGAUGUUACAUAGUGCUUAGUCUAUUAUUUGUAUAUAUUUCUGACUCCUUAAUUUGUACAUAUAAUUCCCUGUUAGUUAAAUAAUAAAUGCAUAUUGCGAGGUGAUAAUGAAUUAAUUUAUUUUAACUCUGAAAACAAGUUAAUAACGAUGCAUGUAAAUGUAGACUUGAGGUAGCUAUACUUCAGAUGCAUAAAAGCAUCUACAUUUUCAUAUUUACUUUUGUUAGGCAUGUGGUUUCGAUGGAACAUCUAUUUGAUCAAUUUGUUUCAUAGAAAUAUCUGGUAAUCUUAAUUAUCUUUUGAAAUUCAUAGACAUGGUUCCGACAAGAUGCAACUUCCGAAUCUAUGCCGGGCCUUUUUUUCCGUCACCGAAUCUAUACAGGGUCUUUUGUUUGGACCAAAAACAAUAAUCGGCGGCAUGUCGAAGUACCACCGUGUAUCUUCCUCUUUUCUACGAGGUCUUUUUCUUUUCUUUCAGCCAACAUCAUUGUUGUCUUUUCUUGGAAGAUUUACAAUGAGGUUUCAGCUAGGAGUGACAUUUUUCUCAAAAGACUAAGACUGAAGCUAAGAAACAUGUAGAGUUCUUGUGAUGUUGAAUUACUGCGAUCUGAAUAUCUCCCUGAAGUGGCAUGGGGAGAUGAGUUGUCCUACUUUAGAAUACAUAUAACUUCGAAUAGGUUAGCUUUGAUUUUAUCUGAUUCUCCUUUUUCUUAAUUUCCCUUUGGAAUUACAAAGUGAUUUUUAUUUUUGCAGCUAGAUGAAAUUUGUAAUCAGAGAUGUUUUUUUUUGCACUUUAUCACCAUGAAUAUGGAGUGGAGGCAAUGAGGGAAUUUAUCUGACGUUGUGUCCAUUAUCCCUAAGGCAGCACUUUAUGUAUUUUAACUUUCGGUUUGUCCUGCUAUCAGCUCUUUAGUAAAUCAUGUUGUUUCAUUCAGACUAUUUUGCCUUUUAUCCAGGUGUCAGAACGUGUUACCUCAUUAUCUGCAAGACAAAUGUCUUACCUUUCUGCUCUCAACUACUGAUACCUACCUACACGGCUUUGCUUCCACUCCGACAGGUUCCUCCGCCCCGCUCUGACGGACUCCACUCUGCUUCGAUGCUGUCUUCUGCUCUAUCGGCAACAUGGCGGGAGACGUCAUCCUCUAGCAAUGCCAACUAGCUCUAGGCCCCUAUCUGCCGUCGGACUCUGUCAAGUACCAUGCUUGUGUUUAGUUACGUAUUCUCCUCAUGAGUAUACCUUGUUGGCAGGUCACUUGACUGCUGGAAGUGAUGUCUACAGCUUUGGUGUGGUCCUUCUUGAGGCGAAAAUCCAUCGACAAGUCCUGGACCAGCAGGGAGCAUAGCCUGGUUGACUGGGUUGGCCCCAAGUUGAGCUACAAGAGGCGGCUUCUCCAUAUCAUCGACCCAAAACUGAAGGGGCAGUAUUCAUUCACAGCUGCUCACAAGGCCUGCAGCCUUGCAUUCUGCUGCCUCAUGAGUGAUGCCGUUGUCUGUCGAGAUGCUUGAACUCAUGAGCGAUGCCAUUGAGACGCUUGAACCACUUCAUGAAGGUGGUGGAAGCAAUGGAGAUGUUGUUCACGUGGGUGGCCUCCCUGACUACAGAAUUCGCUGCAGGCUGACAGGAAACAGCGUGCACCCCAACCCCAAGUGCUCCCUGCCAUCCCGACGUGCAGGGUUAGGUGGUAACAACUUCUGCAGUUCCAGGUUUCACCCGUUGCUGCAGUAGGUCCAGUUGUGCAUUGCUAGCUCUUCGAUGUGUAAAUUUGAUCUGCACACCGCUGCUGCUUUUUUCUUUCUGCUGCUUAUAAGGCCCCUCCAAUUUUCACGGUGGUCUUAAGGUAUCUUGAUUGAGUCACCCCUGCUGAAACCGACGGCGUUUAAUCCCUUAGAUUGAAUGCUGAACCAAGAUGUGUUGCUGGUCAAUGGUAUGGAAUUGAACUAUGAAAAUUAUGUCACAUGAUGUAGCUUUCUUAAAGUUUAACUCUGGGAUUGGUUCA